AUUGAACGCUGGCGGCAUGCCUUACACAUGCAAGUCGAACGGUAACAAGUCUUCGGAUGCUGACGAGUGGCGAACGGGUGAGUAAUACAUCGGAACGUGCCUAGUAGUGGGGGAUAACUACUCGAAAGAGUGGCUAAUACCGCAUGAGAUCUACGGAUGAAAGCAGGGGAUCGCAAGACCUUGUGCUACUAGAGCGGCCGAUGGCAGAUUAGGUAGUUGGUGGGAUAAAAGCUUACCAAGCCGACGAUCUGUAGCUGGUCUGAGAGGACGAUCAGCCACACUGGGACUGAGACACGGCCCAGACUCCUACGGGAGGCAGCAGUGGGGAAUUUUGGACAAUGGGCGCAAGCCUGAUCCAGCAAUGCCGUGUGCAGGAUGAAGGCCUUCGGGUUGUAAACUGCUUUUGUACGGAACGAAAAGCCCCGGGUUAAUACCCUGGGGCCAUGACGGUACCGUAAGAAUAAGCACCGGCUAACUACGUGCCAGCCGCCGCCGUAA
rnacentral:rRNA from 1 species